rnacentral:tRNA from 1 species
UAAUAAGAAGCAAUUUUGCAUUUAGUUUCGACCUAAAAAUAUGAUAUUUAUCCUUAUU